UACUCGUUCAUUUCCAUCUUGAACCUGGGAAAGUACAGUUCCUAAACCAUCUCCACUUGCAUAUGUGUAGAGGAUAUAAUUAUUCUCCGUGUUAAUGGGGGGAAGCAAGAAUGGGGAUUCCUUGAGGACUUGAAAGGCAGUCUCAUAUGCUGAAGUCCAUAUAAAUUGUCUCUUUUCCUCGGUCAGAUGAUGCAUCACUUUUGCGAUUAUUGAAAAUCCAGGCACAAACUGACUAUAGUAGGUAUAGAGUUCCGAGAAACUCCUUACUUCGUGCUUAUUCUUAGGUUGAAGCCACUCCUUAACAGGACGGAUCUUCACGGGAUCUGUUCGCACUCCAUCCUGCAAUACAAUAUGUCCAAGGAAUGUUACCUUAUGUUGGAACAGAAAGCACGCCUUAGAACUUAACUUAAGAUUGGCAUGGCGAAGCUUGUCAAAUACAUCCUGGAGAUUUUGCAAAUGUUCCUUCACUGUAUUCCCUAUUACAAUAAUGUCGUCCAUGUAUACUAGGCAUGUUUUCCAAGUCAAGCGGUGCAGGAAAAGUCCAUCAAUCUCUCAAAAGUUGCCAGAGCAUUACAUAACCCGAAUGGUAACAUAGUGAACUGGAACAGAUCACUACCUGUUGGGGAAUCAGUCUUCUCCUGGGUGUAGCUCCACUUGCCAGUAACCACUCUUCAGGUCCAAUGUAGAGAACCAUCUGGUGCCAGAGAAUGUAUCAAGUGUGUCAUCUUAACCGAGGGGGGUGGGUUAUCUGUCCUUUUUGAUGAUAUUGUCGCGGGUUGAAAUUUUGCAGGGUUGUUGAAAUCAAAUUUAGGGACUUUACUGACGGGACUCUGGGCUGGCUGCUCUGUUCACUCGUCAGCGCAAGUGGCGUGACCAUGUAAUUGGGGCACGGGGCCGGCGCGGCGCGCUGCGGGCUUGCAGAAUUUUGUUUGUUUGUUUGGCCGCGCGCUGGCGCAGCCACGGGCCGCAGUUACUGGGGCGCGCUGUCGUAACAAGCCGCGCGGUGUGGCCUGCACAUUGGGGUAGAGGGGGGGUAGUCUUCCCAGAUGUUCUAGUUAGUUGUUUAGUAAAUUUGACUUCAAUAACGAGCUUUUGUUAUGGUAGGCGCGGCAGGGCGCGCGAAUUUAAGCGCAAGUGAGUGAUGACUCGGGGCUCACUCAGGCGGAGGCUAUGCGUCUCACCUGUGGUCACGAGUUGUUAGUUCGUUCGUGAUGUAGGAAUUCAGGCUCACUCAGGCGGAGGCUAUGCGUCUCACCUGUGGUCACGAGUUGUUAGUUCGUUCGUGAUGUAGGAAUUCAGGCUCACUCAGGCGGAGGCUAUGCGUCUCACCUGUGGUCACGAGUUGUUAGUUCGUUCGUGAUGUAGGAAUUCAAGCUUUCGGGCGGAAGCUAUGGUCGACGCCAGAGGCCACGAGUCGUUUAAUUUAAGUUAGGUCAUAAUGUAGUCGUCAAGCUUUCGGGCGGAGGCUAUGGCCCUCGUCAGGGGUCACGCGUCAUAGUUUUUAAAAUGUAAUGUUCGUUCGGGAUUUCAAGGGCAGGAGAGGCCCCUACGUUAUUUUUUUAAAGUAAUCGAUCAAGAAAGGCUUUUCGGAAAAUGUGAGUAUGGACUUAUCUUUGUUUUAAUUUUAAGUAUUAAUUAUGAUUUGAGGUAUUCGGAAGGACUAGGGAAGUGUUUAGUGAAGUUCUCUCAUUCUCUCUCUUGUAAGGUCGUUCAAUCGUUAAGGAAGUAAAGAGAUUAUUGUUUUAAAUUGUAAUCCCGCUAUUUAAAUGUUCUUUAAAAUGAUGUUGAGUAUUUGACUUUAAGAAUAAAAUAAUUUUAAUUAAGUAUUAUGUUAUUUUGCAAAAUCUCCUUAGUUCAGCUCUCACCAGACAUCCUGUACGGGAUGACGAACCUAUGAUCCUAGGUACAGUAAAGUAUUUUAUGAAGUUAAGACUAGUUGAUGCCAAGCGAGUUGUUUCUAUGUAAAGAGCUACGAUUCUCGCCCCCCCCUCUGAAGGUGGAUCGUGACAGAAAUGGCGGUGGCACCGGCUAGGUGCACGUGACAGAAAUGGUGGAGGCGCCGGGUAGGUUCUAUUUCUGGAGAGAGAGAGAGGUAGAUUUUUAUGUUUAUUAUUAAGUUAGUUUCAGCUUCUGAUAGCAGGUUAUUAAGAGUUUACUUGAGGAGAGGAUUACGGAAUUUUAGUCUAUAGUGGAGGAAGUCUUUGAGAUUUUUUUUUUGACGUAACAGAUGUUUAUUUGAGGAUACUUGUAAGGAUAAAGUUUAUAGUGAUAAGUUGUUUUAAGUCGUUGAAUUUAUUGUAGAUUUAUAUCGGGGAUUAUUACGUGAGGAGAAUACGUUAUAAGUUAAAUGCUUAUUAGAGAUAAUGCAAGUGGUUUAAUUUAAUUGAAGUUCAUUUUAAGAUUGUAGGUUAAGAGAGUUAAAAUUUAAAAUAAAGUUUUUUUCGUAAAUAGGAAUUAUUUUCAAGUCAAGUUUGUUUUGCUGUCGUGCGCUUAGGAGACGAGACGUACGAAUUAAAUCAGUCGAGGGAAGGAUAGACGGUAAAAAGGAAUUAAAGAGAAAACGAGAGUUUAUUUAAAAGAGAGUUAUAGAAUUUAUAGUGAUGUUUUGUUUUAAUAAGAAAAAUGUUGAGAGUUGUUUCAGAACGACACGUCAGUGGACGUGGCAGAAUGAACACGUGACGGGGAGGUGCUGAGACCUAGCGGAGAACGGAGGAACCGCAAGCGAGGGUUGGCGCACCUGAUGGAAUUCGGUGACGUCACGAGCACGUACAGAGACGUGGACGGCCGUGACCUUGUUUUGAUCAGCUGUACGGUAACUUAGCGAUAAGAAAAUAGACUAUUGGUUAAAUAAAUUUAAAUUUAAGUGUGUUUUAGAAGAAGAGGAACUUUCAGUAUAUUCCUUAAGAUGAGCUGAGCAGCAGUCCAGUUUACAAGAUGACAAGAGUUCGAGAGACAAGAUACAAGAUCACUGAAACAAGAGCCAAGACUGAAGAUUCAAGAGAAGAGAAAGCUGGCAGCCAUGGACUUACAAGUGGAGAUUAAUAAGGUCAUGUAAAGUUUUAUUUUUUUUUAUGGAAGACAGUAACUGGAGUUUUUUUUUGUUAUAAACAUUAUUUACAGAACUUUUUAGGUUAUAGUAAUGUAAUGGAACUAGUGAGUUGUGGUAGCUGUCAAAAAGAACUAAUACCUUAAGUUUAAUUUUUAAAGUUAAUUUUCUUAAUUUACAGAGGGAUUAGUAGUUUUUUUUUAAAACCUUAUUUAGGUUGGAAUUUAAAUACAAUAGCUUAUUAUAAAUGUGUACGAACAGUUCAAGUUCACAGUACUGAUAGGUAGGUCAGAUGAUCUUAUUGAUUUUGAUGAUUUGUUGUUUUGAGUUGAUUUUUAGGUGUUGUGAAUUAGACAAUGAAAUAGUUUUGAAAACUUAAAUUAUUUCAAGCUAAGAAAUAGUAAAUUUAAUUGUAACUCAAAGGACACCAGAAUUUAAUUUUUUUUUUGAAUUAGUAAUGUUUGAAAAUUUUAUACUUUACAAGAAAGGUUAUAAACAAACAGAUCGGAUGGAACAAGGAUGCAGUAAAUCACAAUUUCAUUUAGAAUUAUUGAUUUGCUUUUGAGGUUAUGAAGGAAAAGUAGCUAUAAUUUAAAAAUUUGAAUAAAAAUGGUUUUUUUUUAAUUUGUUUGAAAUAGAAAAUUUAAAAGUUAAUUAGUCAUGAUCUAGGUGGGUGAUGGGGUGGGAAUUGGCCACUCUUUUUCCCUAUAACCUCCCUAACAUGGCCUUCUAUUACAUCUAACAGAAAAAAAAAAGAAGAAAAAGAAGACUUAUUAUUAGUUAGAAUGUUUUUUUAUGAAGAUACCUGAUGAACUUUUUUUUUAUUGUUGGGAAGAAUAGUAGCAAGAUUAAUCAGAUGUUUUACUCAGAAGAAGAAGAAGAUAAAGCAGUUUUAUGACUCGACAAGCCAGAGAUUGGUGUUUCCCCUCUGCGCUUCUAUUGACUACGUUGUUUACUCUCAUGGGAUAGCUGGUUCGGCACCAUGGAGAGAGAUUGGUGGGCAUUGUGGUUGCCCCCAGAAGAAAAGAAGAGUAGAAGAGGUUAUGGGUGGGUCAUGUGAACUGACCUUCAACCCAGUUACUUCGUGGGGACUAUUUGCUGUAUAGAGAAGAUCAAGACUCAAGAGUUAGGGAAAAUCAUUGGAGGUCAUGUUUCCCUUCCUUAAGUUUUUCCUAUCAAAUUAUUUGCCUGAUUAGAUUAUGCUAAGGGUGGGAUACUUUAUGUUAGCAGUUGAAUUAAUUAAUUUUAUUUUUUUGUGUGUUUGCAUCCUUGCCCAUCGAUUGCAGUUUAGUAGUUAGUUUUGUAUUUGUCAGGCGUGAUGGUAAUGCCUGUUGAUGAUGUUUCAGAAUUGUAAUCUGUUCGUGAUGAGGAUGGCACAACUCCGAAGCAGAUGUGGGGAGAAGUUGUGAGCUGCCCUGGAAGCCAGUCCAGUAGCUGUUGGAGUUGAGUGGUGUUUGCUGAUGGCCAGCCCAGGGAGCUACUCUUCUCGACAACACUGACUUCGAGGAGUUGCACCAACCUUCACGAGAUAAGAGUUUAAUUAAUUGAAACACUGUAAGGACACUUAAUUUUUUUUGAAGAACGAAAGAAGUAUGGUAAUAAACGGAAACCGAAAAAAAAAAAA